GUGUCAGCAGCCGCGGUAAUACGGAGGGUGCAAGCGUUGUUCGGAAUUACUGGGCGUAAAGCGCGUGUAGGUGGUCGAGUAAGUCGAAUGUGAAAGCCCCGGGCUCAACCCGGGAAGUGCAUCCGAAACUGCUCGACUAGAGUCCCGGAGAGGAAGGCAGAAUUCCCAAUGUAGGGGUGAAAUCCGUAGAUAUUGGGAGGAAUACCGGUGGCGAAGGCGGCCUUCUGGACGGUGACUGACACUCAGACGCGAAAGCGUGGGGAGCAAACAGGAUUAGAUACCCCCGUAGUCC
rnacentral:rRNA from 1 species